rnacentral:lncRNA from 1 species
GCUCUGACUCCAGGGGGCGUUUACCUGGCUGUUAACACCUCUGCUCUGACUCCAGGGGCGUUACCUUGGCUGUAACACCUCUGCUCUGACUCUAGGGGGCGUUACCUUGGCUGUAACACCUCUGCUUCUGACUCCAGGGGGCGUUACCUUGGCUGUAAUACCUCUGCUCUGACUCUAGAGGGCGUUACCUUGGCUGUAAUACCUCUGCUCUGACUCUAGAGGGGCGUUACCUUGGCUGUAAUACCUCUGCUCUGACUCCAGGGG